AUUGCUAUGCGAAUGACUGUUUCACUACCAGCAGCUGACAUUUAUCCGCAUAACAAUAC
rnacentral:pre_miRNA from 1 species